UACGUAGGCAGCGAGCGUUGUUCGGAGUUACUGGGCGUAAAGCGUGCGUAGGCGGUGUCUUAAGUUUGUUGUGAAAUCCCACGGCUCAACCGUGGAACGGCUGGGUAUACUGGCGGUCUUGGGCCAUUCAGGGGCGACUGGAACAAGCGGUGGAGCGGUGAAAUGCGUAGAUAUCGCUUGGAACGCCGAAGGUGAAAAACAGGUCGCUGGGGGAUGUGCCGACGCUGAGAACACGGAAAGCCAGGGGAGCAAACGGG
rnacentral:rRNA from 1 species